UUCUAGUAUAAGCAAUCUAUACAGUGAAACUGCGAAUGGCUCAUUAAAUCAGUUAUCGUUUAUUUGAUAGUACCUUACUACUUGGAUAACCGUGGUAAUUCUAGAGCUAAUACAUGCUAAAAACCUCGACUUCGGAAGGGGUGUAUUUAUUAGAUAAAAAACCAAUGCCCUUCGGGGCUCCUUGGUGAUUCAUGAUAACUUAACGAAUCGCAUGGCCUUGUGCCGGCGAUGGUUCAUUCAAAUUUCUGCCCUAUCAACUUUCGAUGGUAGGAUAGUGGCCUACCAUGGUUUCAACGGGUAACGGGGAAUUAGGGUUCUAUUCCGGAGAGGGAGCCUGAGAAACGGCUACCACAUCCAAGGAAGGCAGCAGGCGCGCAAAUUACCCAAUCCCGACACGGGGAGGUAGUGACAAUAAAUACUGAUACAGGGCUCUUUUGGGUCUUGUAAUUGGAAUGAGUACAAUUUAAAUCCCUUAACGAGGAACAAUUGGAGGGCAAGUCUGGUGCCAGCAGCCGCGGUAAUUCCAGCUCCAAUAGCGUAUAUUAAAGUUGUUGCAGUUAAAAAGCUCGUAGUUGAACCUUGGGCCUGGUUGGUCGGUCCGCCUCGCGGCGUGCACUGAUCCGACCGGGCCUUUCCUUCUGGGGAACCGCAUGCCCUUCAUUGGGUGUGUUGGGGAUCCAGGACUUUUACUUUGAAAAAAUUAGAGUGUUCAAAGCAGGCAUAUGCUCGAAUACAUUAGCAUGGAAUAAUAGAAUAGGACGUGUGGUUCUAUUUUGUUGGUUUCUAGGACCGCCGUAAUGAUUAAUAGGGAUAGUCGGGGGCAUCAGUAUUCCGUUGUCAGAGGUGAAAUUCUUGGAUUUACGGAAGACUAACUACUGCGAAAGCAUUUGCCAAGGAUGUUUUCAUUAAUCAGUGAACGAAAGUUAGGGGAUCGAAGACGAUCAGAUACCGUCGUAGUCUUAACCAUAAACUAUGCCGACUAGGGAUCGGGC
rnacentral:rRNA from 1 species